rnacentral:rRNA from 1 species
UACGUAGGGUGCAAGCGUUAAUCGGAAUUACUGGGCGUAAAGCGUGCGCAGGCGGUUGUGCAAGACAGAUGUGAAAUCCCCGGGCUUAACCUGGGAACUGCAUUUGUGACUGCACGGCUAGAGUGUGUCAGAGGGGGGUAGAAUUCCACGUGUAGCAGUGAAAUGCGUAGAUAUGUGGAGGAAUGCCGAUGGCGAAGGCAGCCCCCUGGGAUAACACUGACGCUCAUGCACGAAAGCGUGGGGAGCGAACAGG